GACGAACGCUGGCGGCGUGCUUAACACAUGCAAGUCGAACGGAAAGGCCCUGCUUUUGCGGGGUGCUCGAGUGGCGAACGGGUGAGUAACACGUGAGUAACCUGCCCCUGACUUUGGGAUAACUUCAGGAAACUGGGGCUAAUACCGGAUAGGAGCUCUUGCUGCUUGGUGGGGGUUGGAAAGUUUCGGCGGUUGGGGAUGGACUCGCGGCUUAUCAGCUUGUUGGUGGGGUAGUGGCUUACCAAGGCUUUGACGGGUAGCCGGCCUGAGAGGGUGACCGGCCACAUUGGGACUGAGAUACGGCCCAGACUCCUACGGGAGGCAGCAGUGGGGAAUAUUGCACAAUGGGCGGAAGCCUGAUGCAGCAACGCCGCGUGCGGGAUGACGGCCUUCGGGUUGUAAACCGCUUUCGCCUGUGACGAAGCGAGAGUGACGGUAAUGGGUGAAGAAGCACCGGCUAACUACGUG
rnacentral:rRNA from 1 species